GACGAACGCUGGCGGCGUGCUUAACACAUGCAAGUCGAACGGAAAGACCAUGCUCUUGUGGCGUGCUCGAGAGGCGAACGGGUGAGUAACACGCGAGUAUACUGUCCUUGACUUUCGGAUAACUUCAGGAAACUGGGGCUAAUACAGCAUAGGAGCUUCUGAUGCACGGUGGGGGAUGGAAAGUGUCGGCGGUAGGGGAUGGACUCGCGGCUUAUCCGCUUGAUGGUGGGGUAGUGGCUUACCAAGCCUUCGACGGGUAGCCGGCCUGAGAGGGUGACCGGCCACAUUGGGACUGAGAGACGGACCAGACGCCUACGGGAGGCAGCAGUGGGGAGUCUUGCGCAAUGAGGGGAAGCCAGAUGCAGCAACGUCGCGUGCGUAAUGACGGGUUUCGGGGGAUGAACCGCUUUCGCCUGUGACGAGGCGUGAGUGACGGUAAUGGGUAAAGAAGCACCGGCUAACUACGUG
rnacentral:rRNA from 1 species